GAUGAACGCUGGCGGCGUGCCUAAUACAUGCAAGUCGAGCGAACAGAUGAGGAGCUUGCUCCUCUGACGUUAGCGGCGGACGGGUGAGUAACACGUGGAUAACCUACCUAUAAGACUGGGAUAACUUCGGGAAACCGGAGCUAAUACCGGAUAAUAUAUUGAACCGCAUGGUUCAAUAGUGAAAGACGGUUUUGCUGUCACUUAUAGAUGGAUCCGCGCCGCAUUAGCUAGUUGGUAAGGUAACGGCUUACCAAGGCAACGAUGCGUAGCCGACCUGAGAGGGUGAUCGGCCACACUGGAACUGAGACACGGUCCAGACUCCUACGGGAGGCAGCAGUAGGGAAUCUUCCGCAAUGGGCGAAAGCUUGACGGAGCAACGCCGCGUGAGUGAUGAAGGUCUUCGGAUCGUAAAACUCUGUUAUGAGGGAAGAACAAAUGUGUAAGUAACUAUGCACGUCUUGACGGUACCUAAUCAGAAAGCCACGGCUAACUACGUG
rnacentral:rRNA from 1 species